CAGAAGAUAAUUUAAUUAAAAUGCUGGUUUUGGGGACCAGUUUUGGGCUUGCCCUCUUUUGA
rnacentral:tRNA from 1 species